CCGCCCACGGCUGGCGCUCCGGGCCCUCCGCCCGCCCCCAGGAGACAAAUCCGCCGCUGGGGCCCUUCCCCCAAUCCUCACCGGUCAAGAGGAAAUAAAGGGCUGUGUUUUCAGUUGCUCCUGCGGUUGCUUCUCAAGCAGACCUCGCUUUUUCCUCAUUGUUUGAAGCUGUACUUCGGUGCCUCCUGAAUAUAUUUGCUCUGUUAUCACUCACAAGGAUCGGCUGUCUUCCUCUUCCACUCACUGGAAGAAUUACAGUCAUACAAAGCAACAGUCAAACUGGGAAACUGUAUGAGCCUCCCCAGUGGGAAAACAUUAAACAAUGUGUAUUCUAUUUAAA